rnacentral:lncRNA from 1 species
ACAAAUCACAUACAUAUGACUUAUAUAUAAUUCUAUUUGGCCAUUCUGGAAUUCAUGUAAUGAAAGGGGAGAAAACAUUUCCAGAAAUUUAGAUAUGAAAGUUAAUUAGCCAGUUUAAAUACAGGGCGGCAUAUCUCAUAAAAUUCAAAUUAAUGAGCCAAUCAAAUCUCUCUCCCUUUCAGCCAGCAUUGUUCAAUACAGUGAGAGAAUAUUCAACAUGCUUAAUGAUUAAAAUAUGUAAUGAUCUCGUUACGGUAAUUGAGAAAGACAUUACUACAUAUUUGAUGAUUUUGCUGUACCUGUAAGGACCAAAUAAACAAAGCAGAUUUCACCA